rnacentral:lncRNA from 1 species
GGUUGUCGUUUGUUGAUGCGGCUCAUAGGUGUUUCUCCUUUCUCAUGUUGUAGAUAAGACUUUUGUUUUUUACAUUUUUGGUUCCUUUAAAUAGCUUGCUGUUUGGUGUACAAAAUGUAAGCCUUGGCUCUAUGUUGAAGGCUGUAUGUUGACCUAUAUUUUUUUUUUAUUCAUUGUGACUUGGAUUGAGAGUUGUGUCAUUGGC